UACGUAGGGGCUAGCGUUAUCCGGAAUUACUGGGCGUAAAGGGUGCGUAGGCGGUCUUUCAAGCCAGAAGUGAAAGGCUACGGCUCAACCGUAGUAAGCUUUUGGAACUGUAAGACUUGAGUGCAGGAGAGGAGAGUGGAAUUCCUAGUGUAGCGGUGAAAUGCGUAGAUAUAGGGAGGAACACCAGUGGCGAAGGCGACUCUCUGGUCUGUUAUUGACACUGAGGCUCGAAAGCGUGGGGAGCAAACAGGAUUAGAUACCCCGGUAGUCCCUGAG
rnacentral:rRNA from 1 species